GACUGGUUAACCACUAAUCAUUUAUAAAUGUAAUUUUUAAAAGAGUAUAUGAUAUGCACUAAUUAUAUAUAUAUAUUCACUAUAUAAAUAUGACAGAUUUAUUCAUGAAUAUGAAACUAAGUUGUAUGAGUUAUACACUCACUUAUAUAAUUUUUAUAGUUAAUAGAUCUUCCCCUUACUAAGUGAAAGGAGUAUUUGUUUCUCCAGGGGGUGGGAACUCUUUGUACCAUACUGGUACUUUAAUAGAUGGUCUAAUUGAUAUCAACCCAAUUAAUUUACCAGGUCUACCACGUGUUCUAAAUUGGUUAGACAUUAUACCCAUUUGAAUUGCCUUCACUCCUGAGUCUCUGAGUGUCAGGUUCAAGCUGCUGACCGACGAGGUUCCUUAUGCUUGCGAACCAGUUAGAUUCUAUACACAUAUGAAUCUUCCCCAUAUUCGAAUAUCUGAAUGUCAGACUCAAGCUGAUGAUAUAUGAGGUAUGGUCCUCGCUGUAUCAAUCAAGUCCCAUUGAAAUAUUGAAACGUUGUUCAUACAUCUUUGAAUGACCUUUUAUGUGCUGACAAUAUGUUCUGAAAUGAAGAGGUAUGUU